rnacentral:rRNA from 1 species
AGAAUCAACGCUGGCGGCGUGCCUAACACAUGCAAGUCGAACGAGAAAGUGGAGCAAUCCAUGAGUAAAGUGGCGACCGGGUGAGUAACACGUGACUACCUACCCUCGAGUGGGGAAUAACCUCGGGAAACCGGGGCUAAUACCGCAUAACAUCUACGGAUCAAAUGCGUAAGCAGCUUGAGGAGGGGGUCGCGGCCGAUUAGCUAGUUGGUGAGGUAAUGGCCCACCAAGGCAAUGAUCGGUAGCCGGCCUGAGAGGGGCGCGACGGACCGACGACCUGGAACUGAAACACGGUCCAGACUCCUACGGGAGGCAGCAGUGGGGAAUUUUGCGCAAUGGGGGGAAACCCUGACGCAGCAACGCCGCGUGGAGGAUGAAGCCCCUUGGGGUGUAAACUCCUUUCGAUCGGGACGAUUAUGACGGUACCGGAUGAAGAAGCACCGGCUAACUCUGUGCCAGCAGCCGC